CCUAAUCAACGAGUUGAAGUGACGAAGACAAAAUGUACACGGGUUUCCAAGCCAUUAGUAAAACCUUCAAAAUUGGUAGUACAUGUAGAUGAUCAAACAGCGGAUCCAUCCCAUCUAUGCGAUGAAACAUUGACUGAUGUCAAUAACAAUUCAACACCAAAGGAAGUUUGCACCAAUAAAAGGACUUGUCGAUGCAGAAAAGCAAAGUUUGUUGGUAGACAGAUUCGACACAAAUGGAUUGUUGAUAAGGAAACCAAUAAGAGCAAAUGGUAUAUUGGAACAGUGAUAGAUGUAGUAUCAGGAAAAGACGGUGAUCCACAAGCGGUACAUGAAGUCCUGUAUAAAGGAGAAGACAGCCCAUAUAUGGUGAAUGGGCUUCAACGGGAUGUGGAUGAAGGCUCGUUGAAGUUCGUUGAUAUAUAGACUAGAAAACAUUGCGAAAAAGUGGUAUAGGUUCCAGCUGCUGUCAGUGGAUAUAUGAAUACAAGAAGAAAAUAAGGACUUAAAACUCCCAAGAAGAAAGUGGUUUAUGAGUCUGAUUCCGACUCGGAGCUGCACAUUGACUCUUCUAUUACAGAAGGGGACUUGGACUAGGAAGAAGAGGGUAUCCAUCAAGCCCGGAUUUUAGGAAGCGACAGAAAAGCGAAAUUCCUGCAGUACCAGUAGAUAUUUAAUAUGCGGUCUGACAUAAAGGUCACUUCAGUGUUACCAUGCUUUAAACACUUUACUAAUUAAUUGUACAGCAUGCAGUCUUUAAAAUAAACACUUGCUCACUAGAAUGAGGCAAGUAAAUAAUUAUAUUGUCAGGUACA